ensembl:lncRNA LINC00366 long intergenic non-protein coding RNA 366
GUCCCUAGCAGAAAAGGAGGCACAGAGAUGCAGAUGGAGAAUUCAGAGCAUGGAUUGCAGGCAAGUUCAGUGCAAUUCAAGCUCAAAUCCUAUAAAAGACUAUAUCCAAGAGUACCAGAAAAACAGCAUAGGAGCUGAAUUUCCUACAUUCGAACUACCACUCUUUACUUGAUCUUAGCCAAAAGGCUUAGAGAUGAUCUCUCCAAACCGCUCUUGUCAGAAUCUGCCUGGAGACAGGGUUUCACCAUGUUGGACAGGCUGAUCUCAAACUCCUGACCUCAAGUUGUCCACCUGCUUCAGCCUCCCAAAGUGCUGGGGUUACAAAGGUGAGCCACCGCACCUGGGCCCCUGCCAUCUUCUUUACCUUCUUUUUACUCUCUCAAUGUAUAGUUUUCUCCUUUCUAAUUAUUCGUAAUAGGAAUGUUUCAUAAUCUACAAA